UACAGAGGGUGCAAGCGUUAAUCGGAAUUACUGGGCGUAAAGCGCGCGUAGGUGGUUUGUUAGGUUGAAUGUGAAAUCCCCGGGCUCAACCUGGGAACUACAUGCAAAACUGGCAAGCUAGAGUAUGGUAGAGGGUGGUGGAAUUUCCUGUGUAGCGGUGAAAUGCGUAGAUAUAGGAAGGAACACCAGUGGCGAAGGCGACCACCUGGACUGAUACUGACACUGAGGUGCGAAAGCGUGGGGAACAAACAGGA
rnacentral:rRNA from 1 species